AAAUAUCUGCAUAGGAUUCUGCUGCAGAUUUGUCUGUUAGAGGCUAAUUCCAGUAGGAACACUGCCCAGUGCCUGCACGUUAUUUGCUUCAGAAACAGGACAGGAAACCAAACAGCAUCCCAGAAGACCGUCCCAGGAGGAUUAAUUUAAGAGGACAGCUACUCAGAUGGACUGGGGCACAGGAGGGAGCAACAGCAGGGUUCUGCUUUUUUGAUAACCACUGAACAAAUCCAGAUGACAAAGGAUAGGAGCACCCAAGCUGAGCAAAGAUGGACCUUCCAGGAGCAGAGAAUCCCUUUUCCACUCUGCCUGGGAAACAGGAUCAAUUGCCAACUGACUCAAUAAAAUAGAGCGCAGAAGGAAAAGAAAAACUAUUUCCUGCCACAAGCAAAGUUUUCCUUUUAAUUUAUGAUCUAAUUUCAUUUUUUAAUUAUGAUUUAAUAUGAUUUAAAUUUAUGUCUUUGAAAAUCUAAGAAGACAAGUGCCCAGAUGGCUUGGUUGCAGGUUAAAAUCAAGUUAUAUUUUGUUUGGGGGUUUGUGUGGGGCUCUAAAAAGGAAACCCUCUGAGCCAUAAGGAUACUUAGAUUAAUUCAGAUAGGCUCCAAUGAUUCUCUAAUUUACAUUUCCCAUGGAUCUGUGGAUUAUAGAGUCAUUUAUAUCAAUGUAAAUCAAAGACAUUGUGACCUGGGAUCAGACCCAGGACCCGUGAGUUAAAUCUGGUCUUUAAAAGUAAAAGAAAAAUGAGCAAGGAGAAAGAAUAAAAUACUUACAAGCAGGAAGAUAUGGAAAUAGAAGCCAAAUGUCCAAUGCAGAGGAUGCGGUUGGUGAUCACGUCCAAAUCUAAAGGGACUGCAUGCUGAGAAAAGUCCCUAUAGAAAAGCAAAUAAAAGUGGAAAAGUUUAGUAAUAACUACAAUAAUAAUAAAAUAAAGGAAGGACAAGUGCUGAAUUUUGACUGCUCUUACUGGCAGAAAUUUCAGGAAAAAAACCCAAACCAACUGGAAUCGUGGCUUGUGUUUUAUUCCUGCUAACAACAUCGUUCUGCUGCCCAGUUACAGCACGGCAUGUACAACAUCAGAACCAUGAUCCUGAACUCUGCUUUACAGACAGGCUUUGAUAACACCUUUCUCUUGUUCUGCAGUGUGCUCCAGGACCAAGACAGAUAUUUGUCCCCUGGCACUUUUUUAAGCACUAGAGCACUGUAUCUGCUCUCCAAUUCAUUUCACAUUAUACCCUGAAGACUUCUGCCAGGAAUCAGGUCUUUUGGAUUACACACUAUUAUUUAUUCAUCCUCUUUAUUUCUGACUAUCUGCAGUUUAAGUUUUCACACUUGAAAUAUCCAAUCUGAAUAUGUUAUGUGCACAGGAAUAGCUAGAAGAAUUUUGUGUGCUACAUGCAUUCAAUACCAAAAAUUAAAACAUAGCCCCUGAAUUGUUUUUAAUAAAGUAAAUUAAAUUUCUUGUGUGUGAAGAAACAAUCCCAAAUGAUACAGAUUAAAGCAAAAGAUGAGCCACACUCAAACAGAUUUUGCCCUUUGGGAGACAAAAGACACUUUCACAAUCAUUGUACAUCUUAGAGCUCUGCCCCUUCAGCACAUUUGGUUUGACUGUGUUAGAGAAGCAGAUCUCUGGGGAUGGAUGUUGAUGCAUUGUUGUGCUGCUUUCAUCCCUUCAGUCACUGAAUCACUUUUGGUUUAAGCCUCUCCAAGCUCAAUAAAGAAAAUUGUCUAGUGCAGCUGUUAAAAGACAGUGUUGUUGAAAUCCAAAUGUUUUGAUAACACUGACUAUACUAAUGUUCCACCAAAGGGAGUCGGACAGCUUCCAGACCAUCUCUUUGUGACAAACAGGUAGGAGGCUGUAGGUGGACCUCAAAGUCAGCUGCCCCAGAGAUGGACCCAGCAUAUGCACGGGAUGUGAGGGUGUGCACCCUUGUCACCUCACCCACAACUGCUUCUGAGGCUGAGGCAGGUGUGGUACAGGAUGGAGAGGGGGUACAGCAGCCCCUGUAUGCAUUUUCUCUGGCAAAUAUGCCUCACAUGGCCAAGAGCUCUACCCUAUGCCCCUCAGUUUUGUUGGCUCAUAGCAGAGAUCCUUUUCCUCCCCUUUCUUCUUUCCUGGGGGAAAGAGGCAUAGAUCUCUGCAACAGGACUGUAUCUUCAACCAAGGCAUACACAAAGUAUUUUGCUCUUUUUUUCUUGGUAGAAUCUUUGUUAGUCCAUCUCUCCCCAGAUACACAGAGCACUACUUUAGCCCAUUUAGCCCCUCAUUCAAUACAACAGUGUCACAAUCUCCAGCAAGGCAAGGGGACCAGAGCCUACCAAAUCUUGGGCUGAUUAAACAUGAAGUGAAAAACACAAGGACAUCCUCAAAGCUUCCUAAGUGCGGGCAUCCAUAUUCAAAUGGUAAGUGUACACAGUGAGGCAGGGAGGACAGAGCUUUUAAUUAUCUUUGAAGAACAGAGAAAUACUUGGACCAGAACAUCAACAAGCUUAUCUUCAGAAGACCCCUUGCCAUACACAGUUGUAUCCCACAGUCCUUCAUCCUCUUGCACCACUCUAAGGCCCCUCACAGCUAUUUUUACUAUUUCAGCUGCAGUAGUAGCCUACAGAAGGAUUUGGCCCAAACAGUGUAUUCAUUCACUGUGCCAGUAAGACAUGCAAGGAGUAGGGAUCUAUCUGUUCCCUGUAUCUCUCAGGAUGUGGAGAGGGGUAAGGAGUCUCACUGCUGUGCCUCUGAGACCUUAGAUAUAGAAAUGGGGCCCUCCUGAUCUAGCAUCCUAUGAGACCAUCAGCUUGAAUCUCAUCCAAAUGAUAUGGUCACCAAGGAAAUCAGUCUCCUUCCUGUGCUGGUUUGUUAAAAAUAUUUAUUUCUGUUUUGAAAAUUUCUUGUGGAAAAAUACAGGUUGCUGAAAAAAACCCACCCAAAACUCAACAGCCUACUCUUUGCUGACCGUAGGGAUGGGUUGUAUUUGAUUUCUUCGUGUUCAGUCCCAAAUCUAUUCCCCUUAUUGCCACUCUGAAUAACUUUUGUUGCCACUCUCAGCCAAAUUCAACCCAGGCAGAAACCUCAAACAGAUCUGAGCUCCUAAAGUUUAGUGACAGUGGGUGAUCAGGCAGAGAAGACAUGAAGGUUCACACAGCCAUUUGGUUGCCCAUAACAGCUUUAAAUCUUGGUAAUUGACUUCUACAGUCAAAAACAGCCAUAAGGUGUCACUGUCAAAGUGACAGAUCCUGGGAGCCCAGCAGGAAAGGAGGUCCAGGGCAAGGUUAGCCAGGGAAGAGAAGAAACCAGCAAGUGUCAGGAAUCCUUAACUGCUGCAUUUCGUCUAAUGACUUCUUGUUUGAUUUCUUGCAAAAUCUGAUUUGGAAGUCUUGUUUGAACAGAAAAUUUAGUGUAGUGUGGAAUGGCUGCUUAAUGAGAAAUGAAAACUACAUUAAAACCCACUUUCCUCAAUGGAACAAGUAUAUGAAAGUAUUUCAACUGCUUCUGCCUUGUUGCCUUCUUUCGUGGUUGAGUCUUCCAUUCCUUCUACCCUUCUUUCUGAAGGCUGUGUAGAGCAUCCCACCAACUGAUAAGCCUCUCAGGAGUCUCCAUCCAGCAUACGUCUGUGUGGCAUAGUGGUGUUGUAAUUAAUCUCAGAAUAAAAAAAAGUUAAUUAAGCUUUGCCACUUCAUGCCUGACUCUUAAAUGGGCUCCCAAUAACUACCUCUUUUAUUUGACACAGGAAGAACAUCACUGGACUCCACAACUGAGACCAAGUGGCCAGUGCAGUGGAGGGCUGUGCACUGUGUUUGCCCUUCCUGAAACCACCACACUUCUCAUGGGGCAGUGCUUCAGCUCCUGCACACUGUUUAUUCAGACCAAAACAUACCAGAUAAAAUACCAAGCUCCGGGGCAAGCAGUCCUUGUUAUCAGAACUUGCUUUCAUUUUCCAUCACGCUCAUGCUUAGACCCUCAGGGUUACUUCCAGGUAGACAGGGAAAAACUCCUCAAAAGUAUCACACCCAUCCCCUUAAUCUACAAGGAAUGCAGUUUUAGGACAAAGUGUGGCUAAAUCUGGAACUGGAUGCUCUUAAGCUCUCUACUCUCAACUUAAGCUCUCUGUUGUCUCUGCCAGUACUGCAGCACAUCCUCCUGCCUGAUGCUGAUGACGUGGCUGCACACACGAGUGUAGCUGAGAGCCCUCAUCUCCAUCACUCCAUGUGGGCACAUCCACUCCUGUCUCGGGAGAAUUCUGGGCAGACUACAGCAAGGAGCUUUGCUGAGCAGUAAAAGCAAAGUUCACUUUGCUAGUCAAUGGGGUUAUUGGUCCUUAACUAGCGAGGAUGUGACCCAGGAAGCAGAGUCCAGAACACUAAGAAAACACCCUUCUAUUGCAAAAUUCAGCUGAUAUGCUGAUUUCAAUGUAUUUUAUAAAAACAACAGGUAUAAAUCACACAUUUUAUAUAUCACAAAUUUUAUAAAUCCAUAUCACACCAAAAAAUGUCAAACAGAUUUCAUUUCGACCUUCUUAGGAACCUCAUCACAAUGUAAAGCUAGGAUACAAUUUUUUACACUUGGUUCAACAGAAAUUUUUGUUAAUGCAUGAUUCUCAGAUUUUUUUUUCUCUCCAAAAAAAUGCAGAUUCAGUAUCGACUACACUUAAAUGUCUGUACACUUAAAUGUCAAAUGAGUUUAGGCACAGAUGUGCUAUCACAGUAACUCCAUUCACUGUAACUCUGCUUCCUGACUUGGGUAUCUUAUGCUUUACUAACAAAAGUAAGAAAACACUCUUCUCCUUUGGUUCUCUGUUUCCCCUCACUGUUGUAACAGAAGAUCUCUAUCCUCACCGUUCCUUAUUUUACCAACGCAGGCUGUAUGCAUGCCCUCCCCUGAUGAACAAACCAUGGCAUAUUUGUGUGCCUAAUAUUCACAUAUAGUCCCUGUUUGCAAAACAGCCUGCAACAACUCAGGCAAAGAGAAACAUGACGGCAAAGGGAGAUGCAGCGAGCCACGCUGUGCUGUGCAAGCAUAAGGGGGCAGGGUUGCACCUGAAAUGCCAAAAAAGAGCAAGUGAGGAUCUGUAGGCUAUGGAAAGAGAGUUUCUGCUGGUGCCUGAUAGAGUGAUCUGUUCAACAACUGCCUCUCAGAUGUCCUAGCUUUAGAGGCCACUGUUGUGCUCCAAUCCAGAGCAAGUGAAAUUCCAGUGGCAGGGAUGAUAGACCAGGCAAGGGCUCAUCUUAGCAUCUCACCAGAAAGCUGCUGAAGGCAUCAAACGAAAGCAAAUGUGCUGGGACAUAUCAAGGAAGUUAAAGGAAUGAUGGACAAAGUGCCUAUAUGAAGUUACAAGUAAGCACAAGGCGGAGCUGGGAGAAAUGCAGAUGAUGACUUGAGGGAGAAAGAUGCUGAGAGCACAGGCUGAUCAAGGCCCAGGAGUACCUCCUGAGAAAAACAGGAGACUUGGUACCUCAUGGACAGGGUGACUGUCAAGGACACUUGAAGCCUCAGACUGACAUGUCAGAUGCAGGGGGAAAGAGGGAGCAGCAGAAGGACUGACAAAGAGGGGAGAUGCAGACGAGGUGGCAGGCUAAGAGGGGGUUUUGCAGCAGCGCCAUGGAUCGACCAUGUCGUAACAGGAUUUCCUCUGUGCAAGCCAGGAAAAGGAGGCAACCGCAGUCAUGAAGACACAGGGGGAGGACUGCUUGCAAAAGAGCGCAGGAGGCAGAAGUGAAAAUAUACUGACUUUUUAGUAUUUAGAUUCCAAGUCUCAGACCUAUCAGAAACAUCGGAUUUUUCAGCAACUUCUGAAUGUACUCUUGGUGUUGAGAUAAUUCCUCUUCUGUGUAGAUGAGGUGCAAGAAGGAAAGGCUCUGUUGCUUCCUGCCUCACAUAGGGAAUUUACAGAAUACAAUUUACAAUUUGCACUGCACCAGCAAGACCCAAUUAUGAAAAAGACACUUGGCAGAGGCGAGUUAUCCCAGUUCAGCCUUUUACAUCUGAAAAGGUUAGCAAAAUGCCCAUGACAAUAACUUCCUAUGCCAAAUAUAUUCACAUACAUACAUACAUGGUGGUAGUACUAGGUUAGGCCUGGAUGCUGAAAUAGCCCAAGACCCCUUCCCCAGCAGUUCCAGGUCCUGCAGCAUUUAUCCUGUUGACAGCAAAGCACACGUACUGGAUAUGGCAAGUAGCAGCCUGCAGGCAGGCCAGCCUGUGUACCAGAGCACGGGAAAGCUGGGGAAACGUGAGGGAGGCAGGGGCGACAUGCCUGCAUUUUCUUUCCCUGCCUUGGGUGAUAGGGGUGACCCCAUCUGAGGAAGAGGUGGGAAAGGAAGGCAGCCAGUACACAGCUACAACCAGCAACCAUCCCUAAGGGGAACAAGCAUAAUAGCAGAGAGAAGGCAGCUGGUGGCUUCAGGUUGCCUUUUGUUUCAGUCUGUUCAGGCACAGGAAAGUUAAGAAUGGGCUCAAAAUGACUGUAAAAAGCAAAAUCACAAGAAAACAGACAUGACACUCCAGCUGGAUCCCUUAUCAUAAUAAAACUGCCAUCACUAUAUGCAUCUUAUAUGGUCCAGAUUUUACACAUUUCUCCUAUUAGUCUUUCUCCCAUUCUGCUAAAAUUAGCUGAGAAUUAAUUAAAUAAUAGCUAGUAUGCAUUCCUAAUUGUCUUUGCUUAUAUAAAUGUUAAUUAGCAUGGCAAAUUCUCAGCCCUUUACCACUAUUUUCACAAUUUUCCUCUAACUGCUUAGUAUUUGCAAGGCUAGGAAGAGUUUGCGACACUUGAUUUCUGUUCCAAACUUUAUUGCAUCUAGCAAGAUGAUGUUGAAACAGCCUGAAGAUUUCAGGCAGACAUAAAAUGCUUGCAAAGGGCAUAUUUUUGUGCAUCCAUCCGGUGUUUUUUUCCCAUGCUAUGCUGUAUAAGCUCAGCUUUUCUCCCACUACAUUGGAUAGGCAUCUUACAAUUUAUUUGCAGAGGGAGCAACGCUUUCCCCGUCAUCUUUCUGCAAGCAUCGUGAAAGAGCACACGGGCGGCAGCCUGUGCUUAUGCCCGCUGAGCCAAGAAUUUUCUUGCACACUGAUGACCCAAUGGUCUGCGCUAUCACACCCCUGGGCUGCAGCAUCUUUCAGCAAAAUAAACCAGCCCGUGCCUCCCUUCUCUCCGCAUCCCUCCUUCCAGAAGCUGUGCAGCCCCGUGCUGUCACCACGCUCUCCCAGAGCGUUCCCCUUCUUGCCUCCGCCGAAAACAAUUUCCCCAAACCCAAGAAGCGUUCGUUCAAUUCAAGCACUCGCCAACCCGCCAAGUGAGUUAGGCUAAAUACAGGUUCUUUCCAAAAGACGUUUGUGAACGAUCAAGCGCAGGC